UCCCCUUGCAUGAUGAUACCACAUUUUUUAAAGCAUAGUUCAUCUUAGUCCAAAGGACACUGAGGAACCAAACAGCAUUGUCUUUCGCUCCUAUCUGAUCACAGCCA
rfam:Cochliobolus sativus ND90Pr unplaced genomic scaffold COCSAscaffold_18, whole genome shotgun sequence.